UACGUAGGGGGCAAGCGUUGUCCGGAUUUACUGGGCGUAAAGAGCGCGUAGGCGGAACGUUAAGCGGGGCCGGAAAGCCCCCGGCUCAACCGGGGAAGGGGCCGCGAACUGGCGUUCUUGAGGGGGAGAGGGGAGAGCGGAAUUCCUGGUGCAGCGGUGAAAUGCGUAGAGAUCAGGAGGAACACCCAUGGCGAAGGCAGCUCUCUGGCUUCACCCUGACGCUGAGGCGCGAAAGCGUGGGGAGCGAACGGG
rnacentral:rRNA from 1 species